UUCAGUCCAGAGGCUCUGAGGUAGUUCGCAGGCGUUCUCUGGUCCCGAGUCUCCUCUAACUUUCCCUAUAAGUUUGUUAAAUUGUAUCAAACAGACAUGCUAUGUACUUCUUUCAGACUAUUAUAUUUAGCACUCUUUAGUUGUCCGUGAGCAGUGACACCAAGUACUGGGUAGAGAUUGGUUGUUAGUUUUCCGCAUAUUGUUUUCGUUAUUGUUAUUAGACAUCUUCGGCAUGUUUUAACUAAUUAUUUUAGCAUUUAAUUUCUUCUAGAUUUAAAUUUCUGGAAAUGUUUAUAAGGGUUGGCUUGCCUAGCUUCGAAACUAGGCGCCAUCACGACUCCCGAUGGUGGGUAAAUCCAGGUCGUGAAUCAAAGCACUAGGUUACUUGGGCCUCACAACUCACGGACAAGCCCAGUAGAGUCUGAGGGAUCGGUACGGAGACGUCUGUAUUUAUCCCCCAGAGGCUACUGAGUUAGGAAAGUUUCACUUUGUUCAUUUUUGUCGUGUGAUUCUAUUUCUCAAGUAUUGAUUGACGUUCAACUCGCUUCUUUCGCAGAUGGCGAGAACACGUGCGUCUUCGUCUUCCGCAUAGUAGCCCGAGCCCCCAACAGCAGCUCCCACAAGGGGAAGGGGUCGUGGCAGGGGCAAAGCUCAGCCCCAGGCAGCAGUUCCAGAGGUGGAGCCUCAUAUUGACUUUGAUGAUGAGGUUUCAGCCCCAUCAGCUCUAGUGGGCCCAGCUCAGGUCCCAGGAGAGCUUAUGUUUCCCCCGGAUCUGCAGGAUGCUCUUGUUCAUAUAACGGGCUUUAUGGAUAGUGUCACUAGAGUGGGUCUGCUGCCAGUAGCACCAGCCAAUUCUCAGGCUGGAUGAAAGGUUCAGACUCUUGCUACGCGUACUCGCCAAGAGGAGUGAUGUUUUCUUCGGAUAUUCAGGAUGCCCUUGUCCGCAUAGCAGGCUUUAUAGACAGUGUGGCCAAAGCGGGAUUGCUGCCAGUAGAACCAGCCGCUUCUCAGGCUGGAGGAGGGCUUAGGACUCCUGCUACACGUACUCCGGAGCAGGUAGCUCCCCGGACUCAGGUUCCCUUGGUUAAGCCCGCAGUGGUGGCUCAGACAGGUAUUAGAGCUCAGGCCGGAGAUGGGUCAGCCAUAUUUUCGGAUGCUUUGUGGAGACUUGAUCGGUUCUCCAAGAUUUUCACUACCACUUUCAACGGUGCGUCAUCAGAGGAUCCCCAGGAUUUUCUGUUCAGUUGUCAUGAGAUUCUCAAGACUAUGGGAAUAUUGGAGACCAAUGGGUCGAUUUUUGUACGUUCAGACUUAUGGGUUCCGCCAAGACUUGGUGGAGAGAUUAUUGUCUGUCUAGACCAGCAGGGUCCCCAUCUAUUUUCUGUUCAGUUGUCAUGAGAUCCUCAGGACUAUGGGGAUAUUGGAGACCAAUGGGGUCGAUUUUUGCACUUUUAGACUUGUGGGUUCCGCCAAGACUUGGUGGAGAGAUUAUUGUCUUUCUAAACCAGCAGGGUCCCCAGCUUUGACAUGGGAUUAGUUUGCAGAGUUAUUUUUGGAGAAGUUUCUCCCCGUCACUCAGCGAGCACUUUACAGAUAGUUUGAGCAUCUUCAUCAGGGUUCUAUGACAGUUACACAGUAUGAGACCAGGUUUGUUGGCUUUGCAUACCAUGCAAUGGAGCUACUCCCUACUGAUCGGGAGAGGGUCCGGAGGUUCAUUAGCGGAUUGAUUCAGCCCAUUCGCCUACAGAUGGCAGUGGGGGUUGGCAGUGAUAUUACUUUUUCAUUAUGAGACCAGGUUUGUUGACUUGGUGAGCCAUGUAGUACUGAUACUCCCUACUGAUCGGGAGAGGGUCUGGAGGUUCAUUGGCGGAUUGAUUCAGCCCAUUCGCCUACAGAUGACAGUGGGGGUUGGCAGUGAUAUUACUUUUCAGGAGGCGGCCAAUGCGGCCCAUCGAGUGGAGAUGGCACUAGCUCGAGGAGGUAGUCAAGGUUCUGACAAGAGGCCUAGACAUUCUGGUAGGUUUAGUGGUACCUCAUCUAGAGGUAGAGGUUCCUAUUUCAUAGGCCAUCACCCGAGACCUUUCCAUUCGUCACUUCAGGUUUCUCAUGGUACCCUAGGCGGUGGUAGUCAUCAGCAGCAUUCUGGCCAGCAGAUCUUCAGCUCACCACCAGCCCCCAUCAGUGCGCCGCCACUUCAGAACGUCAAAGGAGGACAUACAGGUUGACAGGGCCAGCAGUCUCAGCAGCCGAGGACAUGUUAUGGUUGUGGUGACCCAGGUCAUAUCGUAAGGUUUUUCCCUCGAGCCUCGAGUAGUUCUCAGCAGCAGGGUCCUCGCCCUACGAUUCAGGCAGCAGGUGAUUCACAGGCCGCCCAACCAACUAGAGGCGGGGGUAGAGAUCAUAGAGGUGGAGGGAGAGCCCGUGGAGGUAGAGCCCGGACAGCCAGAGGUAGGGGUCAGCCUGCAACAGAUCGUCCCAGAUACGCAGUUCAGGGAGGUGGGGGCCAGCCCCGCUAUUAUGCAUUGCCAGCCAGGCCAGAGGUUGAGUCAUCUGAUGCUGUGAUUACAGGUACUAUACUGGUCUGUGAUAGGGGUGCUUCAGUAUUANNNNNNNNNNNNNNNNNNNNNNNNNNNNNNNNNNNNNNNNNNNNNNNNNNNNNNNNNNNNNNNNNNNNNNNNNNNNNNNNNNNNNNNNNNNNNNNNNNNNNNNNNNNNNNNNNNNNNNNNNNNNNNNNNNNNNNNNNNNNNNNNNNNNNNNNNNNNNNNNNNNNNNNNNNNNNNNNNNNNNNNNNNNNNNNNNNNNNNNNNNNNNNNNNNNNNNNNNNNNNNNNNNNNNNNNNNNNNNNNNNNNNNNNNNNNNNNNNNNNNNNNNNNNNNNNNNNNNNNNNNNNNNNNNUGUGUCGAUUUAUUGCUUCUAGACAUGGUGGACUUUGAUGUUAUAUUGGGGAUGGACUGGCUGUCCCCGUAUCAUGCCAUCUUGGAUUGUCACGCCAAGACCGUGACUUUGGCCUUGCCAAACUUGCCCCGACUUGAGUGGAGAGGGACCCCAGGUCCUGCCACCUGUAGUGUUAUUUAGUAUGUCAAGGCUCCACGUAUGGUCGAGAAUGGGUGUUUACCAUAUUUAGCGUAUGUGGUGUUAUUUCGUAUGUCAAGGCUCGACGUAUGGUCGAGAAGGGAUGUUUAGCAUAUUUGGUGUAUGUUCUUGACUCCGGCGCAGAGGUUCCAUAUAUCGACUAUGUUCCUAUUGUUCGAGAGUUCCCCGAGGUUUUUCCUUCAGACCCGCCGGGUAUGCCGCCCGACAGGGAUAUUGACUUCUGUAUUGAUUUGGCUCCUGGCACUUAGCCUAUUUCUAUUCUGCCGUAUAGCAUGGCCCCGCCAGAGUUAAAAGAGUUAAAAGAACAGCUUCAGGAUUUGCUUGAUAAGGGUUUUAUUAGACCCAGUGUAUCACCUUGGGGUGCACCAGUGUUGUCUGUGAAGAAGAAGGACGGGUCGAUGAGGAUGCGGAUUGAUUACCGGCAGUUGAACAAGGUUAUUAUAAAGAACAAGUAUCCACUGCCGAGGAUUGACGACUUGUUUGAUCAGCUUCUGGGUGCUAAGGUGUUCUCGAAGAUAGAUUUGAGGUAUGGUUAUCAUCAGCUGAGGAUUAGGUCGCUGAUGUCCUUAAGACAACAUUUCGUACUCGGUAUAGACAUUAUGAGUUUUUGGUCAUGUCGUUUGGGUUGACCAAUGCCCCUGCAACAUUCAUGGAGUUGAUGAACUGAGUGUUCAGGCCCUAUUUGGAAUUAGUUGUGAUUGUAUUCGUUGACGACAUCUUGAUAUACUCCCGCUGUCGGGAGGAGCAUGAGCAACACCUGAGAGAGGUUCUUCAGACCGAGUUUUCAGUCCUUACUUGGAUCUAUUGGUGAUUGUAUUUAUUGAUGAUAUCUUGGUAUACUCCCGCAGUCAGGAGGAGCAUGAGCAGCACUUCAGAGUGGUUUUUCAGACUCUGAAGGAUAGCCAGUUGUACGCCAAAUUUUCAAAGUGUGAAUUUUGGUUGAGUUAGAGGGUAUCCAGGUGGACCCAAAGAAAAUAGAGGCAGUCAAGAACUAGCCUAGACGAGCUUCAACUACAGAGAUUCGGAGCUUCUUAGGGUUAGCUGGUUACUACAUACGUUUUGUGGAGGGGUUUUCAUCCAUCGCAGCCCCGAUGACUAGAUUGACUCAGAAGCAUGCCCAGUUCAGGUGGUCAAAUGAGUGCAAGGCGAUCUUCUAGAAGCUCAAGACAGCCAUGACUACAGUACCGGUAUUGCUUUUGCCCAUGGGAUCUGGGCCUUAUACUGUAUAUUGUGACGGCGAACUUCCAGAAGCUCAAGACAGCCCUGACUACGGCACCGGUAUUGAUUGUGCCCACGUUAUCCGGGCCUUAUAGUGUAUAUUGUGAUGCUUCCCGCAUCGGAAUUGGUGCAGUGUCGAUGCAGAACGGCAAGGUCAUAGCAUAUGCUUCUAGGCAAUUGAAGAUCCACGAGAAGAAUUACCCAGUUCAUGACUUAGAGUUGGCAGCUAUUGUUUGAGGCAGCGGAGGUGGUUGGAAUUGUUGAAAGAUUAUGAUGUUUCUAUUCUAUACCACCGAGGAAAAGACAAUGUGGUGGCCAACGCAUUGAGUAGAAAGUCCGCCAGUAUGGGUAGUCUUAAUAUUUUUCGGUGAGUCAGAGACUGCUUGCCUUGGAUGCUCAGGCCUUGGCCAAUAGAUUUGUGAGAUUGGAUAUUCUGAGCCCAGCAGAGUGUUAGCUUGCAUAGUUGCUCACUCGUCAUUGAUGGAGCUUAUUCGGGAGCGGCAGUUUAAUGAUCCCCAUUUAUGUGUCCUGAGAGACACGGUGCAGAAGGGAGGUGCCAAGGAUAUGACUUUGGGAAAUGAUGGCAUAUUUAGGUUGUAGGCGCGAUUAUGUGUGCCCAAUGUUGAUGGUAUUCGAGAGUUAAUCUUAGCGGAGGCCCACAGCUCUCGGUAUUCUAUUCAUCCGGAUGCCGCGAAGAUGUAUCAGGAUUUGAAACAACAUUAUUGGUGGCGUAUAAUGAAUAAAGACAUUGUUGCAUAUGUGGCUCGUUGUCUAAAUUGUCAGCAGGUUAAGUGCGANNNNNNNNNNNNNNNNNNNNNNNNNNNNNNNNNNNNNNNNNNNNNNNNNNNNNNNNNNNNNNNNNNNNNNNNNNNNNNNNNNNNNNNNNNNNNNGAGUUUAUCAGAGGCCUGGUGGGUUAUUUUAGAGGAUUGAGCUUCCCGAGUGGAUGUAGGAGAGGAUCAUUAUGGAUUUUGUUACUGGUCUUCCGAUGACUCGGAAGAAGUUUGAUGUUAUAUGGGUUAUUGUUGAUAGGCUGACUAAGUUAGCGCAUUUCAUCCCAAUUGCCACCACUUAUUCAUCCAAGAGGUAUACAGAGAUUUAUAUCAGGGAGAUCGUUCGCCUUCAUGGGGUGCCCAUAUUUAUUAUUUCGGAUCGGGGUCCGCAGUUUACUUCGUAUUUCUGGAGAGCGGUGCAACAUGAGUUGGGUACCGAGGUCCAUUUGAGUACAUCAUUUCACCCCAGAUGGACGGUCAGUACGAGAAUACCAUUCAUAUUCUUAAGGAUAUGCUCCGAGCUUGCGUUAUUGAUUUUGGAGGCUCGUGAGACUAGUUCUUGCCGUUAGAGGAGUUUGCCUACAACAACAGCUACCAGUAUAGUAUUCAGAUGGCCCCGUAUGAGGCGUUGUAUGGUAGGCGAUGUCGGUCCACAGUCGGAUGGUUUGAGCCGGGAGAGAAUCGGUUAUUGGGUACAGAUUUGGUACAGGAGGCCUUGGAUAAGGUCAAGAUCAUUUAGGACAGACUUCAGUCAGCCCUGCUUAGGCAGAAGAGUGUUGCAGACUGUAAGGUCAGGGAUGUUUCCUUUAUGGUUGGUGAGCGUGUAUCGCCUAUGAAAGGCGUGAUGAGAUUCGGGAAGAAGGGAAAGCUUAGCCCUAGAUAUAUUGGCCCGUUUGAGAUUCUUGACCAUGUGGGAGAGGUGGCUUACAACUUGCUUUGCCGCCUAGCUUUCCCGUUUUCUAUGUAUCCAUGCUUCGGAGAUAUCACGGUUAUCCCACCCACGUGUUAGAUUUCAGCACUGUCCAAUUGGAUAAGGAUCUGUCAUAUGAGGAUGAGCCAGUGGCUAUUUUAGACCGGCAGGUUCGACACUUGAGGUCGCGGAGUUUUCCUUUAGUGCGUGUUCAGCGGAGAGGUCAUCCUCCUAAGGCAUCAACCUAGGAGUUCGAGUCUGAUAUGUGGAGCCGUUAUCCCCAUCUAUUCCCCGACUCAAGUACUCCUUUCUUUUGUCCGUUCAAGGACGAACGGUUGUUUUAGAGGUGGAGGAUGUGACGACCCAAAGGGUCAUCACCGUAGUUCUCCCUUUCCUUGCACUUCUGAGGCCUUGAAAAUCUCUUAUUUGGUUGCCUCGAUUGGCUUGCACAGUCCGAGCGCGAAGCCGGAAGAUUUUUAUCUGAAAAUAUUUGAACUCUGUGUUAAAAACUAUGAAUUUUAAUACUAAUACUGCAAUGGUUGGCUUUGGUCAACGUUUUGGGUAAACGGACCUGGACCCGUGAUGUGACGGUUAAAUUUGGGACCCGGGCGUAUUCUUGGAAUCAAAAUCCGAGGUCCCAGGCCCGAGAAAACAAUUUCUCAGUUUAAUUGAUUUCUAUUAAUGUUUAAGGAAAAUGAAUUAGAAAAAUAACCACAAUGUGAUGGUAUCGGGCUCGUAUUUUGGUUCUUACGCCCGGUACAAAUCUUAAAUGGGCGUUAAGCGCUAUCUGUAAAGUUUGGUUGAAAACGGACGUCGUUUGACGUGUUUUGGACUAAAAGUGGAAAAGUUUGAAAGUUUCGAACUUGAAAUGAAAAUCAUGAGUUUUGGAGGUUGAUUCUUUGAUUUAGAUGUUAUUUUGGAGAUUUGAUCGCACGAGCGAGUUUGUAAGAUGUUUUUGAGGUUGUGACAAUAUUUGGGUUGGAGCCUCGAGGGCUCGGGAGAGAUUUGGAGUAGGUGUCGAGUUCAUUUUGCAUGGUUGGAAGCUGUUUCUGGUGUUUCAGACCUGCAGGCUUCGCAAUUGCGAAGCCUGGUUCGCAUUUGCGAAAGAGGUCCAGGUCCAGCUAAUCUCGCAAGUGCAAGUUCUACUUCGCAAAUGCGAAGUCUCCUGUCUUCCUUCAGUCAUCGCAAAUGCGAUAAUUCUUCGCAAUUGCGACCUUUCCCCAUUCCAUCCCAGGUUCGCAUUUGCGAACACCCUCUCGCAAAUGCGAGGUCCGCUUUUUUGCAGCCCAGUUCGCAAUUGCGAAUUCCAUCUCGCAAUUGCGCGGUCCCUUUCUUUGAUGCCCAGUUCGCAAUUGCGAAUUCGAACUCGCAAUUGCGAGGUCCGUGUCUGCACAAAAUAUACUUAACCGAUUUUAAAGUUCUUUUCCAUAAUUUCAAAACCCAAAACCCUCAUUGGCGAUUUUCUCUCAACUCUUCCGUCCUCAAAUCAAUUGUAAGUCCAUUUUUACUUGUUUUCUUCAAUACUUAUCAUCCUCUAACAUGAUUUCUUCACUAAAUCAUAGCUUUCAUAGGUUAAAAAUGGAGGUUUGGGUAGAAGCUAGGUUUUUCAUACCUUCACUAAAUCAAAGCUUUCAAGGGUUAAAAAUGGAGUUUGGGUAGAAGCUAAGUUUUUCAUAUUUUGAGCUUUUGGACCUCGAUUUGAGGUUCGAUUUCAAUUCUAAUUAUAGAUAUGAGCUCGUGGGGGAAUGGGUAACCCGAUUUUGGUUCGAACCUCGAGUUUUGACCAUGUGGGCCUAGAGAAGUUUUGGGAAUUUUUGGAUAAAACACUGGAAAUUUUAUUCUUAUGCGUUCAAAUUGAUUUAACUAGCAUUUGUUGAUACAUUUGAGUAAAUUAUGGUUAUAUUCAACCGAUUUUGAAGCAAAUUCGAGGGGUAAAGCUAUUCUAGAGGCCUGAGUAGAGUUGGAAACCUUCAAGGUAAGUGCUAGAUCUAACUUUGGCUUGAGGGAAUAGGAUUAGGUUGUUAAUUUCUAUGUGCUAUGUGGAAUCGGUGUAUAGCUAUGGUGACGGUUACCUAUGCGCCCGAGUCGAGCAUGACUGUGUUGUCAUUUGUUAUUAGAAUUGUGAAAGAAGUGAACAAUUGGGGUAAAUUCUUGUUAUAGGAGCUAUGAAGUGAAAGAUGAGAAGUAAAUGAACUAGAGAUGAGUUGUUGGUGUUUUUCGCUUGCUGGGACUUAAAUUGGGAUAAAUUCUUUUAUAAGAUCUAUGAAGUGAAUGAGAAGUAAAUGAACUAAAAAUGAGUUGUUGGUUUUUUUCCCUCGCCGGGACUUGUUAUACUGUUUCCCUUGCCGGGACUUGUUGUUAAACUGCUUCCCUUGGCGGGACUUGUUGUUAAAUUGUUUCCCUUGCUGGGACUUGUUGUUGCAUUGUUCUCCCUUGCCAUGAUGGUUAAUCUUGUUGUUUACUUCUUUUCCCAUUAAUUGAGAUUAUUGUUUGGGUGAGGAGGAGCGAUAAAGCACGAAGGGUGAUGCCGUGUACUUAUUGAUUNNNNNNNNNNNNNNNNNNNNNNNNNCUCCACAAGAUGGAGUGGUAUAUAUCGAUUUCCUCCACAAGAUGGAGUGGUAUUUAUUGAUUUCCUCCACAAGAUGGAGUGAUAUAUAUUGAUUUACUUUACAAGAUGGAGUGGUGCUAUUGAUUGGGUGAGGACGAGAGUAAAAGCACGAUGGGUGGUGCUGUGCAACGUGGUUUUAUUGGUCUUACCUUACUGGAGUUCCUUAUCCCGUUUUCCCUUUACUAGUUGUUGUUUCAUUGGGUUCUCUUAUUUAAAUGCUAUCUAUUCAGUUCUAUCUCUUAAUUGUAGAAGUUAUAAUUGAACUGUUAUUCCCCUCAGCAUGUCCCCUCCCUUUUUGUUGUUUAAAUUCUUGUUUUUCUUUUCUGUUAUAGUAUAUAUCUGUACAGGUUGUUUAUGGUAGGUCCGGUUAGCCUCGUCACUACCUCGCCGAGGUUAGGCCGGACACUUACCAGCACAUGGGGUCAGUUGUGUUGAUACUAUGCUUAUGUGCCUUUUUGCACAGGUCAAGAUCCAGUCCACGGACCGCAACAUUAGACCGGGAGUGAUCCUUCAGUUCAGAGGCUAUGAGGUAGUUCGCAGGCGUUCGCGGGCCCCGAGUCUCCUCUAACUUUCCCUUUAAGUUUGUUAAAUUGUAUCAAACAGACAUGCUAUGUACUUCUUUGAGACAAUUAUUUUUAGCACUCUUUAGUUGUCCGUGAGUAGUGACACCAGAUACUGGGUAGAGAUUGGUUGUUAGUUUUCCGCAUAUUGUUUUCGUUAUAGUUAUUA
rnacentral:lncRNA from 1 species